UCGCGAGAGGAACAUGGCCGCGGCGGGCCGGGGAAUGUGGUGAAACAGACACUUUAGGAGGGUGCUAGAGAUAUAAGGUAAGUGCUGUAUCUUAAAAAAAAUUAAACAUUUUAAAUAAGUUAUUUUAAUAAAGUUGCUGUGCUUUUUUUUAGUAAGCAGUGUAUCCCUUUAAGUUGUGCUGGUUUUAUAAUCCUGUUAAAAUGGAAGGUUUUCCAGGAGAUCUGUUCCUAUACAAACAGAAAUUUGGUUAUAUGUAGUACUUGUAUUACAUAAACUUAAGAGCAAGUUAUUGUGAUUUUAUGCUUUGACUUUUGAUAUGAGUGGGUUUUAAUCACCUCUUUAGAUUGUGACUUAAAUACUCAUGUGCUGAUUAAACAAUAUUUUCUCUUUUUAAAGGACUGCCAUGCUUGCAAGCCUUCACAGAUGUUAGAUGUUUUCCAAAUGUGAAUAGUUUUGAUAUUAAAACUUGGGUCUGUAGAGCAUUUUGUUUAUUUUUAACAGUUCUUCUGCAGUGACUCAGGCUUGUACCAGCACAGCACCUCCAGAGAGACUCUAGACUCCAUGUGGUUUGGUUAAAUCAAUCCAGUUAUAGAUGAGGAAAAUUCUCUCUCAAAGGGAGUAGCUAAGGGUGUUUAAUGGCUGCUGAUAGUGCUGUUUCAGGAGGUGUUAAGAAGGGAAGUCAAGCAACGUAGUAAAACAAGGAAGUUGGGUUAUAUUGACUAACACAUUUUCAGUUCUGGAACUGUGUGCUUCUGGUGUUCAGCUGGUCCCUAAAUGGUGAAAAUUCUGAUCCUGCCCUUCCCUCCUCAUCUUCUGUGUGGGAAAAAGAGGGUGGGACAGGUUGCCUGAUUUUCAGGAUUACCAAGACUGAGUAUCAAACUUAAAGCCUCUUGAUAGUUUCUAUUGAGGCCUCCUAGAUGAACCAGAGCAUUGGUUCCACCUCUGCAGAAAAAGCAGACACUGCACAGGACUCAUGGCUAAGAGCUGCUCCAGAGACUGGAAGAACAAGAUGUACAGAACUGGAUAUGCACAGAAGGGGGUAUGUAUCUGUAACAUUGAUGUAUUCCAACAAUUCCCAGAACUGUGUUAGGCAAAAAGUCCCAGCUAGAAACACUUAAAGGCAGGGGAGCUUCCCCUCACCUGAAGGCAAGGUGUGUUCAGGCUUGUGUGCAGGCUCUGUGAAGAGCAGGUUGGAUUAGACUUGGCAGACCAGUUCAUUUUGUGUCCUUUAGUAAAUCUGCAACCAUUGAUUCUUACUGUGAAUAAAUCUGCUGCAUGUCCAAAAAAAGAGAUAAACAACUGAAAUUAAGGCUGUUUGUACUUGACAGCCAUGAAUGUUUCAUGUUUGCUUCUUCAAAUGAAAUUUUUCCAUGCUGUGCUGAGGACAGGGAACCAGUAUUCCUGGCAUUGUUUUUAAACCUUUUUAGCACCUGAAGUUCAAGAGCCAAAACUGCCCAGUGUUAGUUACAGUAUAUAACUUUUUUCAAAAGUUCCUUCUGUGGCAAAGAUUGAUAUCUACCACAAAAAUCUUCCAUAUCCUGAAACUCCAAAGCAAAUGCACAUUACAGAAUUUAUUCAAGUGUUCAGAUUACUGUUAUUAAAUCCAGAUGUUAAUGUAACAGUUUUGCACUUGUGCAAUAAACUGGAUCUCUGUGAUUGUUGACUCAGUAGAGAGUAUUUUAAGAUUUCAUAUUUGGUACUUGGCUUAAGCCAUUAAUUAAAUGUUUGAAAAGGGGCUUUUACCUAGGCAUGGUGCCAAAAGCAACAGAGGGAGAGAGCAGUCCUAGUUACACUCAAUUUUGAUCUUCACAUCAACUAGUGAAACACUAAUUAACAAAAAAUAAAGACAAAAAGGAAACCCACUGGCUUUCCACCCUUCUAAGUGAAUUUAUGACAUAGGUAGUCCUAGUUACAUACCUGAGAAGGAUAUGCAGUUGUGUUCUUAUUUCCACAUUUUGUGUCUAAUGCUAGAAGCCUGCUGGAAGGCUAGGGAACCGUUGCUGAAAACUUGUUUACAAAUUCUAGAGACAUUAAAAUUAAUUUCUUAGUCAUUCUUUAAAUGCAAAAGAGGUAGCUCAUAAAAAUUCAGCAGAGAAACUCGUUAAAAUGAGUUCAAAUUAUUAGUGUAUUCAGUAAAGUCCAGUUAAUACCCCAAAAUAGUUCUUACAUCUCAUGUAGAGGCAAAUUUCCCAAUAUUUCCUAUGCAAAAACAGUAGAAGAGACACAGAAUUCCAGAUACUGAAAUUCUGUUUAGUUCCAUUGCUGCAAUGUUUAAUUUUGUUCCCUGUAUUUUUAAAAUUUAAAACGCGUAGCUUGGUAAAGUUGCAAUCCAGCAAAGCUUUAAGCACGUGUUUCUGACACUAAAUGAGUUGCACAAAGUUGAACACAAGCUUAAAACUUUUCAUGAUUUAUAACCACAUGUUAGUAAGGCUUUAGGGAAGUAAUGCUGUGACACAGGCAGAGCAGUGUGAGUGUGUCUGUGGUGGCUGUCUCAUCCUUACACUGCUAAGUUCUGUGUGCAGGUGCUCUCCUGCUCCAUUGGCAGGGGUUUGGUGUAAGUUGGGAAUUAGGGGUUUGUACUUAGGUAUUAUCUGAGAGAACACCUGAUGUCACCCUUAAUCUCCAUUGUGUUUUAAAAUGCUCCCAAAGUGUGUUACCAGUCUGUUUGUUCACUGUGCAUUGGCCAUCUGGGCACAUUCCCUUGUACAUGAGUGACUGGAAGAGUGAAAACAGAGGAGUGUUUGUACUUUUAUGAUCUUCCCUUGGUGCCCUGGCAGGUGAGAGUCUCAGGAUUGGUGUAUUCUGAGAGUGAAGCCUGCUGAAUAUACUGAGAUGGCCACACAGAAUCUAGUGGGGAUCUCCCACUAGUUCGUUAUGGUUGGCCUGAAUUGUACCAUUUGUGUGCUAUUUUAGGAGUUUUUGAACGGACUAAUAAAUCUCUCUGAACUA